GUGUUGUAUUAGAGGAGAGAAGGUAAGCACUUCCCUUGGAGAGGAUGGAAGAGGCCCUUGGGCCUGACAACACACAUACAGCGAAGGCACUGUCACCUACUUUGCGGCAUCUAACCAGUUUUUUUC